AUACUUACCUGGCAGGGGAGAUACCGUGAUCACAAAGGUGGUUUCCCCAGGGUGAGUUUUAUCCAUUGCACUCCCGAUGUGCUGUCCCCUGCAAUUUCCCCAAAUUUGGGAAAUUUGGCUGCAUGCUUUGUGGUAGUGUGGGACUGUGUUCUUGCUCUCCUCUG
ensembl:snRNA U1 U1 spliceosomal RNA